AGCUUAACCCAACGGGAGUGACGCGUAUGUGCAAGAACUCCUGAAAAAUGAUGGAAAUGCUUGGCUACAUGCUCUAGGACGUAACUUCCAAGGAAAACAAACUUUGAUUUUCCACAAUGGCUGUUCAAAUUAAGUCCAGGAAGUGACUCUCUGGCCACCACGCUGGUCACAUGCUGCCAUGCUUCCCCACCAUGAUGGAGUCUCCCUCUAAAACCACAACAAGUAGGAAGUGGAUUCAGACUUCCACGAAGGCCUAUGAAAAGGAAGGGUGAGACCAACUGUACGGUUAAACCAGGGCCUCCAAAUUCUUCAAAACCACCACCCGCCUCCUUGAAUGUGGAUUCCUGACCAUAUGGCACACUCAGCCAGUGCUUGGGCUGGGUCAUAAGCCAUCGGCAGCUGCUCUUUCUUGUUUCUUGGGACAUUGACUUUUGGAACCCAGCCGCCAUGUUGUGAGGGAGCCCAAGUAUCCAGUGAAGAAGCCACAGUGGGAUGAGCCAAGGCCUCACGCACACUAGGAAUGCGCUCGACCACUGAGCCACACUCUCAGCACUUGGUUAUAUUAUAGCUCUGGCUGGCCUGGAAUGAUGCAGCCAAAGCUUGCCUUGAGUUCCCGAUCCUCUUGCCAACACCUCCUCCUCCUAAAUGCAGGAGAGCAGGCUUGUGCCAUCACGCCCAGCUGGGUUUUGUUUCUCUUUAAUGCGUAUUUAAACAAAUAGGAGGCAUGAAAUGGUUUUACCUAUUCCUACCUAGUCAAG